rnacentral:tRNA from 1 species
CCGGUGAAGUGGUGAACACGCCAGCCUUUCACGCCGGCAUGCAGGGGUCCGAAUCCCCUAUCCCGAG